UUCCGCAUUUUACAACAUUUUGCAACGAAACUUUGGAAUAUUACUAAUUCUGUGAUGCUCCUUCAAGCUGUGAUGAAAUUUUUGUCUAGACUUGUUUAGUUCAAAAUUUAGUCUAUUACGCAAAUGGUCAAUUGCCGUUCGCAAUGGUCUAGCAAACAACGAAUUCGAUUAAAUUUCCCCAUUUCAGCGUUUUAUCCCCAUUUCAGCGUUUUAUCCCCAUUUCAGCGUUUUACCCCCAUUUCAGCGUUUUAUCCCCAUUUCAGCGUUUCGGCCCCCAUUUCAGCGUUUUACCCCCAUUUCAGCGUUUUACCCCCAUUUCAGCGUUUUACCCCCAUUUCAGCGUUUUACCCCCAUUUCAGCGUUUUACCCCCUUUUCAGUUUCCGCUUUCAGUUUCCGUUUCCGCGAUUCAGUUUCAGCGUUUUAUCCCUACCCGAUUUUGGGUAUUAGAGCAGAAGAUGGUCUGAUAAAACACGCACUGCGAAUGUUUUAAAUUGCUUCAAAAACGAUCGAUGUGGCGAGGUAUAGCCAGUAUAGCUAUCAAUAUAAAGAUAUACGACACGUUUAUGAUGUGUGUUUUCCUCAUGAAUUAUUAAUGAUUUUUUAAAGCUAUUUUAGACAACAGUCACAGCACAGAGCUUUUAUCGUUUAAAAGGCUCCUGAACCACGGUUGUUUAACGUAUUCUGCCCGGCUGCCGUAUAGCAAAUAACAGUUGAGCAUGUUUUGAAGUGUUAUUCUUAAGAUAUAAAAUCAUCAUCCAA